rnacentral:rRNA from 1 species
CGGCCCAGACUCCUACGGGAGGCAGCAGUAGGGAAUCUUCCGUAAUGGACGAAAGUCUGACGGAGCAACGCCGCGUGAGUGAUGAAGGCUUUCGGGUCGUAAAACUCUGUUGUUAGGGAAGAACAAGUGCUAGUUGAAUAAGCUGGCACCUUGACGGUACCUAACCAGAAAGCCACGGCUAACUACGUGCCAGCAGCCGCGGUAAUACGUAGGUGGCAAGCGUUAUCCGGAAUUAUUGGGCGUAAAGCGCGCGCAGGUGGUUUCUUAAGUCUGAUGUGAAAGCCCACGGCUCAACCGUGGAGGGUCAUUGGAAACUGGGAGACUUGAGUGCAGAAGAGGAAAGUGGAAUUCCAUGUGUAGCGGUGAAAUGCGUAGAGAUAUGGAGGAACACCAGUGGCGAAGGCGACUUUCUGGUCUGUAACUGACACUGAGGCGCGAAAGCGUGGGGAGCAAACAGGAUUAGAUACCCUGGUAGUCCACGCCGUAAACGAUGAGUGCUAAGUGUUAGAGGGUUUCCGCCCUUUAGUGCUGAAGUUAACGCAUUAAGCACUCCGCCUGGUGAGUACGGCCGCAGGCUGAAACUCAAGGAAUUGACGGGGGCCCGCACAAGCGGUGGAGCAUGUGGCUUAAUUCGAAGCAACGCGAAGAACCUUACCAGGUCUUGACAUCCUCUGACAACCCUAGAGAUAGGGCUUCUCCUUCGGGAGCAGAGUGACAGGUGGUGCAUGGUUGUCGUCAGCUCGUGUCGUGAGAUGUUGGGUUAAGUCCCGCAACGAGCGCAACCCUUGAUCUUAGUUGCCAUCAUUAAGUUGGGCCUUCUAAGGUGACUGCCCGGUGACAAACCGGAGGAAGGUGGGGAUGACGUCAAAUCAUCAUGCCCCUUAUGACCUGGGCUACACACGUGCUACAAUGGACGGUACAAAGAGCUGCAAGACCGCGAGGUGGAGCUAUGUCAUAAAACCGUUCUCAGUUCGGAUUGUAGGCUGCAACUCGCCUAC